CGGGGUGAGUAAUGCUUGGGAAUCUAGCUUAUGGAGGGGGAUAACUACGGGAAACUGCAGCUAAUACCGCGUAAUAUCGAAAGAUUAAAGUGUGGGACCUUCGGGCCACAUGCCAUAGGAUGAGCCCAAGUGGGAUUAGGUAGUUGGUGAGGUAAAGGCUCACCAAGCCGACGAUCUCUAGCUGGUCUGAGAGGAUGACCAGCCACACUGGGACUGAGACACGGCCCAG
rnacentral:rRNA from 1 species